AAGGAUCAUUACCGAGUGUAGGGUUCCUAGCGAGCCCAACCUCCCACCCGUGUUUACUGUACCUUAGUUGCUUCGGCGGGCCCGCCAUUCAUGGCCGCCGGGGGCUCUCAGCCCCGGGCCCGCGCCCGCCGGAGACACCACGAACUCUGUCUGAUCUAGUGAAGUCUGAGUUGAUUGUAUCGCAAUCAGUUAAAACUUUCAACAAUGGAUCUCUUGGUUCCGGCAUCGAUGAAGAACGCAGCGAAAUGCGAUAACUAGUGUGAAUUGCAGAAUUCCGUGAAUCAUCGAGUCUUUGAACGCACAUUGCGCCCCCUGGUAUUCCGGGGGGCAUGCCUGUCCGAGCGUCAUUGCUGCCCAUCAAGCACGGCUUGUGUGUUGGGUCGUCGUCCCCUCUCCGGGGGGGACGGGCCCCAAAGGCAGCGGCGGCACCGCGUCCGAUCCUCGAGCGUAUGGGGCUUUGUCACCCGCUCUGUAGGCCCGGCCGGCGCUUGCCGAACGCAAAUCAAUCUUUUUCCAGGUUGACCUCGGAUCAGGUAGGGAUACCCGCUGAACUUAAG
rnacentral:rRNA from 1 species